UACGUAGGGGGCAAGCGUUAUCCGGAUUCACUGGGUGUAAAGGGAGCGUAGACGGCCAUGCAAGCCUGGAGUGAAAGCCCGGGGCCCAACCCCGGGACUGCUCUGGGAACUGUGCGGCUGGAGUGCGGGAGGGGCAGGCGGAAUUCCUGGUGUAGCGGUGAAAUGCGUAGAUAUCAGGAGGAACACCGGCGGCGAAGGCGGCCUGCUGGACCGCGACUGACGUUGAGGCUCGAAAGCGUGGGAAGCAAACAGG
rnacentral:rRNA from 1 species